UGGGAUCACCCACAUCGUGUGUGAUGAGGACACCGGGGACAGCAGUGAGGCCACCAGCCCAGCCCCAGCUCUCACCCACAGCGCUGUCCCCAUGACUGCAGCUGCAGCACCCAGGAGUGUGUCAGCACUCACAGUGCUGUGCGUGGUCCUGGGGAUGCUGCUGUGCCUGGCCCUGGCUGCCCUGGCUGUUCUGGCACACCGCACAUGGGCCCAGUGCCAAGAACCCAGCAAGGAUGCUGCCUCUGAGGUUGUGUAUGAGGAGCUGGACUACCGCCUGAUGCCUGAUUACCAGGAGGUGCCCAGCCAGACAGGCUCCCUUUCCCAGGGCUCAGGGAGAAA